UACGGAGGGUGCAAGCGUUAAUCGGAAUUACUGGGCGUAAAGCGUGCGCAGGCGGUUUGUUAAGUCCGUUGUGAAAGCCCCGAGCUCAACUUGGGAAUUGCAGUGGAUACUGGCAGGCUGGAGUACGGUAGAGGAAGGUGGAAUUCCCGGUGUAGCAGUGAAAUGCGUAGAUAUCGGGAGGAACACCAGUGGCGAAGGCGGCCUUCUGGACCAGUACUGACGCUCAUGCACGAAAGCAUGGGGAGCAAACAGG
rnacentral:rRNA from 1 species